GGAGGGGCUCGAGUGUAGUUACGAUGUGUUGUCAUGAUUGUUGUUGCAAAGUGAGAUCGUGUUUUUUUCAGUUGAUAUUCGUAUUUUGUUGAGGAUUUGGGAUUAAUUUCUGUGGAUAUUUUGUGCAUUUUGAGAAAAAACAAGUUUUCUGUGAUUUUCCGUUUGAAAAGCCACUUUCCGUUUCAAAAGGCCGAUUCCGUGAAUUCCGUCCGUUUUCCGCGAUCGCGGAAAAUCACUGUCCCUACUUUAUUCAUAGCAGUCUUUUAAAAAUGUGGAGCAAAUUGCGAUACGAUACCAGGAAAAUUAUUCCCUGCCUAGAGAGGGUGCUAGAUACAUGUAUGUUUGAUUUAAAUAUUUAGAUAUUCACAGAUAAUCGGGGUUAGAAAAGAUCAAACGACCAUUACGAGCUUUUAAUAUUGGAAUGUUAGAUGAUACUAAAGUAUAAUUACAUAAUAUUGACUAGCCUUGAGGGGAACAUAAAAUAAAUUGCCUGCAAUAGAACCACUGACAUACAUGUAGAGUUGACUGGCUGGUGGCACCUCCAACCAAGGCUUAGUAAAGUUAGGAUUGUCAUUUUUUCUUUGCUUGCCUUGGGUUAGAAUGAUUUUUCUUCCAAAAAUAACCUAUGAAAGGAUGGCACUUCAUCUUACCACUGUAAUUCUAGGGGCAGAAUAAUAAUUCAUUUGUAAAAUACAGUUUAAAGAAGAUAAAUGAAUGCUCAAACUCUUAGUAUUUCCAUUGAAAUACAUGUUACAUCUUAUUUUUCUAUAAAUGGGGUAAUUUGUUUUUUCUUUACUGUAUAUUACAGGAAUUAAACUGUCAUGGCCAGCAGACUGCGUGAAAAGAAAAGCAGUUCAUCCAUACCUGUAACUAAGUCUGGAGAUUCCUUGCUGAAUAAGAAUGAGGAAAGCAAUCAGAAGAGUGACUCAGGAACAGAGCUUGUAAAAGCAACACCAAGCAGUGCCACCAGGAAUUCCUUUGCGUAAUAUUCUCAAGGUUGUCUGCCAAUGUGUUACCCCCCAACUGUAGUGCGGGUGUUAGCUUUUUUUUGCUGUUUAUUUAUAUUUUUGUUAUGCUGUAUGGCAUUUUGCAUUGUGCUUCUUUUAUUGAAUUGAACCAUAUUAUUGGGUGUUACUGACUUUCAAGUUAAAACUGAAAAUCAUAGGAAGAAACUUUAUCGCUGUCAUUUCAUUUUAAGCUUUUCAUUCAUCCACCCAUUCUUUAAAAACACUCCUAGAACUAACCAUGCAUGCUUUUCCUGUUGAUUAUAUUUGCAACAAUUUUUUUUUAAAUACAGUUCAUUCCUGAAUGUGUUGAGGUCUCUCAGAAAUAAGAAAAAUAACAUCCACUUAAGUAGAUUUAUUGAGUAUUGAAUGCUUAUGAUGAGAGACAGUGAUCUACAUGUAUGAUGCAUGCCUGAAAGAGAUUCAUCCCAUAACAAUCACCAUCAACCUAACAUUGUUAUAUUCCUUGGUCAUUAUUGUUUAAAAAUUUGUGUUUGCACUACACUGAGAUGUUCAUGAAAAAAGUUAAAAACAUAUUUUGCAUGAACUUUUUGGAGCUUGUCUUUGUAUUCUAAUUUGCAUUGACACUGGAGGUUGUUCUUUAGAUUCAGGCUUUUGAAUAAUUCAUAUAGGCAUACAUGUACCUAUUACAGUUCUAUUCCAUUGUCAUGUUUGUGAAUUAUAUUUAAUUUUCAGUCACUAAUAUGUUAUAACUUGCAACAUGUAGUAAGUUGGAUUCUAAUACUCCUACAUGUAGGUAUUACCUGUAAUGAUUCAUUCAUGAAUUUUGCAAUAAUUUGAUUUCUUGAUCUCUUGGCUAAUGUGCUACACUAUUUUGGUACUAAUGUGGCAGGUUUAGGUUUUUAUGUGGCUUGGAUUAUAUUUAACAUGUAGUAUAAACUUUUUUUCAUGCUUUAGUUCUUGUCACACAUUCAAAGAUACAAAUUAAGCUUUCAUGCCUUUUCAUUGACAUUUUACCCAAGAUUUAGCUACUAGACCUUUCACACUAAAAUUCCUUGGUGAUGCUAUUACAAUGUAAACAGAGUAUUUGGAUAAUUUGCUUUUCGACAGAGCUGUUCAGUCAGAGAUUGAAAUCGGAAUAUUGGCAAAAAUUUGGCACCUCACAAAUACUGAACAUGUACAAUGUACAGUACACUGAUAUGUCCCUCAUGUAGAGUAUGUACUUUGCAUUGUUCAAUGAAUACAACAUAUGCUUGAAUUAUAAUCCCUGCAUGUUAGUGUUGGCCAACAAUGACAUUACCACAAUAUUUCUAUUGGCACAUGAUCGUGGUAACACUCUUCAUUGUAAAAUUCUUUGUGUUAAUUUCAUACCUGUAGCUCCAUGCUGUUUUACAAUGUAGGUUUCAUUGUCAUUGUAGAUAUUUCUAAUAUUCAACAUACAAAAUAACUGAAUUAAUUUAAGCCACAAUAAGCAAGAACACUCUAGACUAGAUGUAGCCACUGUAGAUGUAUUGGGUAAUUCAGAUUACUAAUGAUUUAUAAUUGGUAAGUUCAUACACACAAAUAAUAAUACCAGUCAAACUUUGACUGCUAUUAUGUAAUCGCAUUAAUAACCAUAAUACAUGUAUAUGGUUUAUUUCCAAUUGGUCUAUUGCCAAUUCGUCCAAUACCAACUUAUCUACUAUCAUUUGGUCUACCAUCAGUUCGUCCACUAUCCACAUGGUCUAAUUGCCAUUUCGUCCACUGACCGUUGUGUCUAAUAACCAUUUGGUCCAAUAGCCAUUUAGUCCAUAUGCCAUUUGGUCUAAUUUGACUAAGUGUAAAUUGGAUGAAAUGAAUGAAAAGAAAACAAGUGUUAGACCAACUGGUUACGAGAUGAAAUGGUCAUAGAUGAACUGGUGACUAGACGAAGUAAUUAUUGGACUAAGUGGUUAUUGGACCAAUAGCUGUUAGAUGAAAUGUUGAUGGACGGAAUGGCAUUAGACCAAUGAAGGUAGACCAUGUGAUGAGUGGACAAGUUGGCAAUAGACGAAUCGGUAGUUUACCCAUGUACGUGUGCACUGUAUUUAAUUCCAUAAAAUAACUGAUUGAAAUUUUCUGUACAUGUUAUAUUGAAAAGGUAUUAUUUUUCCCUCUUCUUUUAUGUUUUUUUUUCUUUCUGUUCUACAUUGCUCAUCAUGAAAUAGAUAUAUCCAGUCAUUAGAAUAUCUCUUGAAUUUUGCAAAUAUUUCACACAAUUUGAAAUCUUGGUAAAAUAUUUUGAUAAAUAUUCUGUGGCAUGUAUAAUCAUAUUCAGGUGAAUGGAUUAUAAAGAACUAGAAUACAGAAGUUCUUGACUUCUUGAAGGAGUGAUAUUCAAUACGAAUACAUUAUAUAGAUCUCUCACUGGAUAUUGCUGUGGAAAAUCUUGGAGGAUAUGCUUUGUAUAACAUGCAUUCACUGAGGUAAAAAAAAAAAUCUGGUACAUGUAAUUCUGGCCACUAAUCCCCUUUUCAUUUGAAGCAGUGGUGAUGCUCUUCGGGUACAUUUUCAAGUUCUUAUAAUGUAUCUUUGCACUGUACCUGGUGUCUGAGAAAAAGAAAAACAGUGGAUAUUAUGUAAACCUGUACUUUGCUUUCAAAAAAUUGUUUUCCACCACCAAAUUCAAUCAUAUUGGUACAUGUAGUUGAUACAAUGCUGAAUGCAUCAUUCUCUUUAGAAGAAUCUCUAAACUAAAUGAUGCAAUCAAAAGCUCAACAUUUUGAUGACAAACUCAAAAUACAAUGUACACCAUCAUGCCUUUUCUGUCCCCUCUGUCCCCCACUCUGGUAUCUUUUCCGGGUAGGAAUCACAGUAUAGAAUUUGUGUGUGUGUGUUCAUAGUACUGUACAUCAAAGAGGAAUUACAAUGUGAAAGGGAAUGUUUGUUUAUAGUAUAUCUAAUGAGGCAGAUGCUGCACUUUGAAAAAAAAUCAUAUAUUUCUUUCUCUGCUAUUUCUGUUAAGAUUUACAUGUAUGACAUGAACACAUGUCCUGUACUCAUUUUUCUUAAAUUUGUUUCAGAUUCAUUUAGAUCAGCUUACUAAACCUUAUACUUGUUUCAACCUCUAAUGUACCAUUUAUCAAUUUUGAUUUGAUAUUCUAAUCUGAGCUGCUCUAUUUUUAUCUUCAAAUUCCUAUCACUAAAUACAUGGAGGUCUCCUUAACAAUAUGUCUAACACUACAGUGUAAAGAAAAUGUAGGCAUACUGUUGUUUUGAUGGGGGGGGGGGGUAGAUAUAUGGUCUUUGUCCUGGAAACCACUUACAGAUGAUUUAAUAAUGGAAAACAUGAAAUUACAAACUUAAAAAAAUAGAAAUCUUAAUUUGUUAUUUAAGAAAAAAAUCUUAAUAUGCCUUUAUGGCCCGUGCCACUGAUUUAUUCAUAAAUUAUCCCAUUCACUUCCUAUUUUGAUUUUCUCAUCUACUACUGUAUAUUACACAAUUAUCAAGAUUUCAUUUCUGCUGCUGUCUCUCGUUGCUUGGAUACCUUCUUUUCAUCACAGUAAUUCAUUUUCAAUGCCACAUCACAAUUGCAUUUGCCUAUUGUAGGGAUACAUCUACAUGUACAUGUAUAUCGGACUAUAAUACUGCAUUGAUUUGAAAGGCAAUUUUUAGAAUUAAUUCAUAAUUAACUGUACUGCGUCAAAUAUGUGGCCUACAGUGUAUAUGGUCUCUGGUCUUUCCUGUAUCAAAACUAAAACAUUCAUGUAUACAGUAUAGUACAAUUUAUUUCAAUAUUUAACCGAUAUUCCUGAUAAUAAAAUAAGAAAUGGACAAGGGAUGUGUUUUGCACUAAAGUAUAUACCUGAUAGGCCUCUAUGUAAGUGAUACAAGAAAAGUAAUAUAUAGUUUUCUUUCUAACUUGAGUAUUAUGCACCUCUUUUAUUUCCAUUUUUAGAUAAUAAAAUUGGAUUGGUAAACGAGAUACAUCAGUUUUUAUAUUUUUAAAAUUAAAGAUUGUAAAAUCAUUCGAAGUCUCCAUGAACGUGGAAUGUGAUAUCAUCUAGUCUCGCAGUAUCAUAAUUUUCUGAAGCCCUUUGUAUAUCUGACACAAAUCCAAUCAAUCUCUCCUCCUCCCUCUCUCUCUUCCUCUCUCCUUGUCUGAAUUUAGCUCAUAAUCAUUGUAGAUUUUAAAAGUUAAUUCAAUUGAUUUUAUCUUUUUACAUGAUUAUUUCUUUGUAAUCACAAUGAUAAUUUGUUAAUCAUUUGCAGUCUAGUCACAC